rnacentral:tRNA from 1 species
GGGUGUUUAGCUCAGUUGGCUAGAGCAUCUGCUUUACACGCAGAGGGUCAGGGGUUCAAGUCCCUUAACACCCACCA